rnacentral:misc_RNA from 1 species
UCGCGGCUUAUCACCGGCAGUCCCCCUAGAGUGCCCAACUGAAUGAUGGCAACUAGGGGCGAGGGUUGCGCUCGUUGCGGGACUUAACCCAACAUCUCACGACACGAGCUGACGACAGCCAUGCAGCACCUGUGCACGGACUCCGAAGAGGGGCCCUCGUUUCUGAGGGCUUUCCCGUGCAUGUCAAGCCUAGGUAAGGUUCUUCGCGUUGCGUCGAAUUAAACCACAUGCUCCACCGCUUGUGCGGGCCCCCGUCAAUUCCUUUGAGUUUCAGUCUUGCGACCGUACUCCCCAGGCGGAGUGCUUAAUGCGUUAGCUGCGUCACCGACCAGCAUGCUGGCCGACAACUAGCACUCAUCGUUUACGGCGUGGACUAC